UACGUAGGGUGCGAGCGUUGUCCGGAAUUAUUGGGCGUAAAGAGCUCGUAGGCGGUCUGUCGCGUCGAAUGUGAAACCCGGGGCUCAACUCCGGGCUUGCAUUCGAUACGGGCAGGCUAGAGUUCGGUAGGGGAGUCUGGAAUUCCUGGUGUAGCGGUGAAAUGCGCAGAUAUCAGGAGGAACACCGGUGGCGAAGGCGGGACUCUGGGCCGAUACUGACGCUGAGGAGCGAAAGCGUGGGGAGCGAACAGG
rnacentral:rRNA from 1 species